GCGAAGAGGCCUCUCCUGCCGCGAGCCCUAGCAGAAGCGCCUCUAAGUAGCUCUUUAUUGGGUUGGUGCCAUAGCUGGAUUUCAAUAAUAAAAUGGGAAAAACAUAUGUGGUUUUUGUUGGACGGAAUCCCGGUGUUUAUGAUAGUUGGGAAGACACUCAUACUCAAGUUAACAAAUAUAGCGGUGCAUUGCAUAGAUCAUAUCUCAGUAAAGAGGAAGCAUUUAGAGCUUUUAAUUCAUACAAGGAGAAACAACAUGGUUUCUUUGCCCCUACUGUCCAAAAAUGUUCAAGCUCAACUUUGGGUUCAACUUCAACUGCAUCCUCAA